rfam:Pyrenochaeta sp. DS3sAY3a unplaced genomic scaffold IQ07scaffold_10, whole genome shotgun sequence.
UUCUAGGAUGAAAUAAUUUGCGAUUGAGUUCCUCGUCGGAAACCCUCGCCGGGGUUUCUCAACGGCGUGGAAAUUAUGAUAUUCAAUUUCUUACAUAUUCUGAGC